AGCAGCCGCGGUAAUUCCAGCUCCAAUAGCGUAUAUUAAAGUUGUUGCAGUUAAAAAGCUCGUAGUUGAAUUUCGGGGUCAGUAGGUCGGUCGUGCCACUGGUAUGAACUGGUUUUACUGAUUCCUCCCUCUUGAAGAACUGUAAUGCCAUUAAUUUGGUGUUGCAGGGAAUCAGGACUGUUACUUUGAAAAAAUUUAGAGUGUUUAAAGCAGGCUUUAGCAUGAAUACAUUAGCAUGGAAUAAUGAAAUAGGACGUUUGAUCCUAUUUUGUUGGUUUCUAGGAUUGACGUAAUGAUUAAUAGGGAUAGUUGGGGGCAUUAGUAUUCAAUUGUCAGAGGUGAAAUUCUUGGAUUUAUUGAAGACUAACUACUGCGAAAGCAUUUGCCAAGGAUGUUUUCAUUAAUCAAGAACGAAAGUUAGGGGAUCGAAGACGAUCAGAUACCGUCGUAGUCUUAACCAUAAACUAUGCCGACUAGGGAUCGGAUGAUGUUAAUUUUUUAAUGACUCAUUCGGCGCCUU
rnacentral:rRNA from 1 species